rnacentral:rRNA from 1 species
GACGAACGCUGGCGGCGUGCUUAACACAUGCAAGUCGAACGGAAAGGCCCUGCUUUUGUGUGUUGCUCGAUUGGCGAACGGGUGAGUAACACGUGAGUAACCUGCCCUUGACUUUGGGAUAACUUCAGGAAACUGGGGCUAAUACCGGAUAGGAUCUUCUGCUGCACGGUGUUGGUAGGAAAGUUUCGGCGGUUGGGGAUGGACUCGCUGCUUAUCAGCUUGUUGGUGGGGUAGUGGCUUACGAAGGGUUUGACGGGUAGCCGGCCUGAGAGGUUGACCGGCGACCUGGGGCCUGCGAUAGGGAGCAGAAGCGUAUCGGACGCAGUAGUGGAGAGUAUUGCGGAACGGCGGGACGUGUGAGGUAGCAACGCUCGGAGCGUAAUGCCGGGUUUCGAGUUGUGAACCGAUUUCGAAUGUACCGAGGAGAGAGUGACGGUAAUUGGUAAGGAAGCAACGGCUAACUACGUG